rnacentral:rRNA from 1 species
AGAGUUUGAUCCUGGCUCAGAUUGAACGCUGGCGGCAUGCUUUACACAUGCAAGUCGAACGGUAACAGGCCGCAAGGUGCUGACGAGUGGCGAACGGGUGAGUAAUGUAUCGGAACGUGCCCAGUCGUGGGGGAUAACGCAGCGAAAGCUGCGCUAAUACCGCAUACGAUCUAUGGAUGAAAGCGGGGGACCGUAAGGCCUCGCGCGAUUGGAGCAGCCGAUAUCAGAUUAGGUAGUUGGUGGGGUAAAGGCUCACCAAGCCAACGAUCUGUAGCUGGUCUGAGAGGACGACCAGCCACACUGGGACUGAGACACGGCCCAGACUCCUACGGGAGGCAGCAGUGGGGAAUUUUGGACAAUGGGCGC